AGUAUAAGCAAUUAUACAGCGAAACUGCGAAUGGCUCAUUAUAUAAGUUAUCGUUUAUUUGAUAGUGCCUUACUACUUGGAUAACCGUGGUAAUUCUAGAGCUAAUACAUGCUAAAAAUCCCGACUCCGGAAGGGAUGUAUUUAUUAGAUUAAAAACCAAUGCCCUCUGGGCUCCCUGGUGAUUCAUGAUAACUUCUCGAAUCGCACGGCCUUGCGCCGGCGAUGGUUCAUUCAAAUUUCUUCCCUAUCAACUUUCGAUGUUUGGGUAGUGGCCAAACAUGGUGGCAACGGGUAACGGAGGGUUAGGGCUCGACCCCGGAGAAGGAGCCUGAGAAACGGCUACUACAUCCAAGGAAGGCAGCAGGCGCGCAAAUUACCCAAUCCCGACACGGGGAGGUAGUGACAAUAAAUACUGAUACAGGGCUCUUUUGGGUCUUGUAAUUGGAAUGAGUACAAUUUAAAUCCCUUAACGAGGAACAAUUGGAGGGCAAGUCUGGUGCCAGCAGCCGCGGUAAUUCCAGCUCCAAUAGCGUAUAUUAAAGUUGUUGUGGUUAAAAAGCUCGUAGUUGAACCUUGGGCCUGGCUGGCCGGUCCGCCUCACCGCGUGUACUGGUCCGGCCGGGCCUUUCCCUCUGUGGAACCCCAUGCCCUUCACUGGGUGUGGCGGGGAAACAGGACUUUUACUUUGAAAAAAUUAGAGUGCUCCAGGCAGGCCUAUGCUCGAAUACAUUAGCAUGGAAUAAUGAAAUAGGACGCGCGGUUCUAUUUUGUUGGUUUCUAGGACCGCCGUAAUGAUUAAUAGGGACAGUCGGGGGCAUCAGUAUUCAAUUGUCAGAGGUGAAAUUCUUGGAUUUAUUGAAGACUAACUACUGCGAAAGCAUUUGCCAAGGAUGUUUUCAUUAAUCAGGAACGAAAGUUAGGGGAUCGAAGACGAUCAGAUACCGUCGUAGUCUUAACCAUAAACUAUGCCGACUAGGGAUCGGACGAUGUUAUUUUUUGACUCGUUCGGCACCUUACGAGAAAUCAAAGUGCUU
rnacentral:rRNA from 1 species